rnacentral:rRNA from 1 species
GCUCCAAUAGCGUAUAUUUAAGUUGCUGCAGUUAAAAAGCUCGUAGUCGGUUCGGGCGGGCUGCGCCGGUCUGCCUUUGGUAUGCACUGGCGUGGCCGCUUUUCUGUCGGGGACGUGCUGCUGGGCUUUACUGUCCGGCACACGGAGUCGACGCUGUUACCUUGAGUAAAAUGGAGUGUUCAAAGCAGGCAUACGCUCUG